UACGUAGGUGGCAAGCGUUGUCCGGAUUUACUGGGCGUAAAGGGCGCGUAGGCGGCCCGCUAAGUCGAACGUGAAAUCCCCAGGCUUAACCUGGGAACUGCGUCCGAUACUGGCAGGCUUGAAUCCGGGAGAGGGAUGUGGAAUUCCAGGUGUAGCGGUGAAAUGCGUAGAUAUCUGGAGGAACACCGGUGGCGAAGGCGGCAUCCUGGACCGGCAUUGACGCUGAGGCGCGAAAGCUAGGGGAGCAAACGGG
rnacentral:rRNA from 1 species